AAUGAACGCUGGCGGCGUGCUUAACACAUGCAAGUCGUGCGCGAAAAGGGCUUCGGCCCUGAGUAGAGCGGCGAACGGGUGAGUAACACGUGGGUAAUCUGCCUAGGAGUGGGGGAUAACCUGGGGAAACUCGGGCUAAUACCGCAUUCGUCCGCGAGACCUCGGUCUUGCGGGGAAAGCUGACCUCUACUUGUAAGUUGGCGCUCCUAGAGGAGCCCGCGGCUGAUUAGCUAGUUGGUGAGGUAACGGCUCACCAAGGCGACGAUCAGUAGCCGGCCUGAGAGGGUGACCGGCCACACUGGAACUGAGACACGGUCCAGACUCCUACGGGAGGCAGCAGUGGGGAAUAUUGGACAAUGGGCGAAAGCCUGAUCCAGCAACGCCGCGUGGAGGAUGAAGGCCUUCGGGUUGUAAACUCCUGUUAGGGGGAACGAAAGGUCGCGGGUUAACAGCCGGCGACCCUGACGGUACCUCCAGAGGAAGCCCCGGCUAACUCUGUG
rnacentral:rRNA from 1 species